rnacentral:rRNA from 1 species
UACGUAGGGUGCAAGCGUUAAUCGGAAUUACUGGGCGUAAAGCGUGCGCAGGCGGCUUUGCAAGACAGAUGUGAAAUCCCCGGGCUUAACCUGGGAACCGCAUCUGUGACUGCAUAGCUGGAGUACGGCAGAGGGGGAUGGAAUUCCGCGUGUAGCAGUGAAAUGCGUAGAUAUGCGGAGGAACACCGAUGGCGAAGGCAGUCCCCUGGGCCUGUACUGACGCUCAUGCACGAAAGCGUGGGGAGCAAACAGG